GAUGAACGCUGGCGGCGUGCCUAAUACAUGCAAGUCGAGCGAACCGACGAGGUGCUUGCACCUUUGACGUUAGCGGCGAACGGGUGAGUAACACGUAAGGAAUCUACCUAUAAGUGGGGGAUAACAUCCGGAAACGGGUGCUAAUACCGCAUAAUGCGAAUUUGUCGCAUGACAGAUUCGUCAAAGGAGCAAUCCGCUUAAAGAUGGGCUCAUAUCUGAUUAGGUAGUUGGAGAGGUAACGGCUCACCAAGCCUACGAUCAGUAGCCGGACUGAGAGGUUGAACGGCCACAUUGGAACUGAGAUACGGUCCAG
rnacentral:rRNA from 1 species